CGCACCUUGCGCCCUUUGGUAUUCCGAAGGGCAUGCCUGUUUGAGUGUCAUAUAAACCUUCACCCCUCGGUUUUGCCUAGUCUUAACCUUGGGAGUGCUUUGGGCGUCUGCCGUUUGCUCUGGCUCGCCUUAAAUGCCUAAGUGGAUCUUUUGCGUGAUUAAGUCUUCGCAAGGAAACGUCCACUCUAAUCCACCCUUUAUGCUUUGACCUCAAAUCAGGUAGGACUACCCGCUGAACUUAA
rnacentral:misc_RNA from 1 species